rnacentral:rRNA from 1 species
UCUAGUUAGCAUUAUACCGUGAAACUGCGAAUGGCUCAUUAAAUCAGUUAUCGUUUAUUUGAUAAUACCUUACUACUUGGAUAACCGUGGUAAUUCUAGAGCUAAUACAUGCUGAAAAUCCCGACUUCGGAAGGGAUGUGUUUAUUAGAUAAAAAACCAAUGCCCUUCGGGGCUUUUUGGUGAUUCAUGAUAACUUUACGGAUCGCAUAGCCUUGCGCUGGCGACGGUUCAUUCAAAUUUCUGCCCUAUCAACUUUCGAUGGUAAGGUAUUGGCUUACCAUGGUUUCAACGGGUAACGGGGAAUUAGGGUUCGAUUCCGGAGAGGGAGCCUGAGAAACGGCUACCACAUCCAAGGAAGGCAGCAGGCGCGCAAAUUACCCAAUCCCGACACGGGGAGGUAGUGACAAUAAAUACUGAUACAGGGCUCUUUUGGGUCUUGUAAUUGGAAUGAGUACAAUUUAAACCUCUUAACGAGGAACAAUUGGAGGGCAAGUCUGGUGCCAGCAGCCGCGGUAAUUCCAGCUCCAAUAGCGUAUAUUAAAGUUGUUGCAGUUAAAAAGCUCGUAGUUGAAACUUGGGCCUGGCUGGCGGGUCCGCCUCACCGCGUGCACUCGUCCGGCCGGGCCUUCCUUCUGAAGAACCUCAUGCCCUUCACUGGGCGUGCUGGGGAAUCAGGACUUUUACUUUGAAAAAAUUAGAG